rnacentral:tRNA from 1 species
GCCUGGCUGGUUCAGUCUGUAGAACAUGCGACUGUUGAUCUCAGGGUUGUGAGUUCAAUCCCUACAUUGGGCG